AAUUGCAAAUGUGCAUGUGCAUUUUUUUCCUUUGAUGUUCAGAGUAUAUAAAAGUUGACAUCUUACUAUGCAUUAACAGUGCAAAUAUGCACAGCAAGCCAAUUCGAUAAAGAGAGAUACCAUAAACAAUGUUAUACUACUGUGUCAAGUCGAGUACUAUAAAGAUGGCAAUGAGCAGGAUCAAUAUUAUGGCAAUCAUCAUGCAUUUUCUUGACUUCUUUUGCAGACUCUUUGCAAUGUGAAGAGAGUCGUUACCCGAUUUCACAUGAUCAGUUGUAUUUACCACCUGGUUAUAUCAGAAUAACAUUUUGUCAGCACAAAAAAUGAUUACCAGAAUGAAAUAAUGAAGGAAUUAGUGUAAUAUAUCAAACAAACUAAUAAUUCACAAACAUAAAUAGCUGAUAUGACUAAAUGUAAGUUUUUACUUGACUA